GAAAAUCCGUCGACUUUAGAAAUCGUGAGGGUUCAAGUCC
rnacentral:tRNA from 2 species